GUGCAUGCUCCAGCAACUCAUGUACCAAGAUUGAAACUAUAUAGAGAAGGUGAACAUGGUCCCUGAGCUAGGAUGAUGCACACCUUGCGGAAAAAUGGCUACAGAGCAU
rnacentral:snRNA from 1 species